rnacentral:rRNA from 1 species
GGACGUCCCCUUCGGGGGCAGAGUGACAGGUGGUGCAUGGUUGUCGUCAGCUCGUGUCGUGAGAUGUUGGGUUAAGUCCCGCAACGAGCGCAACCCUUGAUCUUAGUUGCCAGCAUUCAGUUGGGCACUCUAAGGUGACUGCCGGUGACAAACCGGAGGAAGGUGGGGAUGACGUCAAAUCAUCAUGCCCCUUAUGACCUGGGCUACACACGUGCUACAAUGGACAGAACAAAGGGCAGCGAAACCGCGAGGUUAAGCCAAUCCCACAAAUCUGUUCUCAGUUCGGAUCGCAGUCUGCAACUCGACUGCGUGAAGCUGGAAUCGCUAGUAAUCGCGGAUCAGCAUGCCGCGGUGAAUACGUUCCCGGGUCUUGUACACACCG